rnacentral:rRNA from 1 species
CAAUCAAACCGGGAGAUAGCUGGUUCUCCCCGAAAGCUAUUUAGGUAGCGCCUCGUGAAUUCAUCUCCGGGGGUAGAGCACUGUUUCGGCAAGGGGGUCAUCCCGACUUACCAACCCGAUGCAAACUGCGAAUACCGGAGAAUGUUAUCACGGGAGACACACGGCGGGUGCUAACGUCCGUCGUGAAGAGGGAAACAACCCAGACCGCCAGCUAAGGUCCCAAAGUCAUGGUUAAGUGGGAAACGAUGUGGGAAGGCCCAGACAGCCAGGAUGUUGGCUUAGAAGCAGCCAUCAUUUAAAGAAAGCGUAAUAGCUCACUGGUCGAGUCGGCCUGCGCGGAAGAUGUAACGGGGCUAAACCAUGCACCGAAGCUGCGGCAGCGACGCUUAUGCGUUGUUGGGUAGGGGAGCGUUCUGUAAGCCUGUGAAGGUGUACUGUGAGGUAUGCUGGAGGUAUCAGAAGUGCGAAUGCUGACAUAAGUAACGAUAAAGCGGGUGAAAAGCCCGCUCGCCGGAAGACCAAGGGUUCCUGUCCAACGUUAAUCGGGGCAGGGUGAGUCGACCCCUAAGGCGAGGCCGAAAGGCGUAGUCGAUGGGAAACAGGUUAAUAUUCCUGUACUUGGUGUUACUGCGAAGGGGGGACGGAGAAGGCUAUGUUGGCCGGGCGACGGUUGUCCCGGUUUAAGCGUGUAGGCUGGUUUUCCAGGCAAAUCCGGAAAAUCAAGGCCGAGGCGUGAUGACGAGGCACUACGGUGCUGAAGCAACAAAUGCCCUGCUUCCAGGAAAAGCCUCUAAGCAUCAGGUAACAUCAAAUCGUACCCCAAACCGACACAGGUGGUCAGGUAGAGAAUACCAAGGCGCUUGAGAGAACUCGGGUGAAGGAACUAGGCAAAAUGGUGCCGUAACUUCGGGAGAAGGCACGCUGAUACGUAGGUGAAGCGACUUGCUCGUGGAGCUGAAAUCAGUCGAAGAUACCAGCUGGCUGCAACUGUUUAUUAAAAACACAGCACUGUGCAAACACGAAAGUGGACGUAUACGGUGUGACGCCUGCCCGGUGCCGGAAGGUUAAUUGAUGGGGUUAGCGCAAGCGAAGCUCUUGAUCGAAGCCCCGGUAAACGGCGGCCGUAACUAUAACGGUCCUAAGGUAGCGAAAUUCCUUGUCGGGUAAGUUCCGACCUGCACGAAUGGCGUAAUGAUGGCCAGGCUGUCUCCACCCGAGACUCAGUGAAAUUGAACUCGCUGUGAAGAUGCAGUGUACCCGCGGCAAGACGGAAAGACCCCGUGAACCUUUACUAUAGCUUGACACUGAACAUUGAGCCUUGAUGUGUAGGAUAGGUGGGAGGCUUUGAAGUGUGGACGCCAGUCUGCAUGGAGCCGACCUUGAAAUACCACCCUUUAAUGUUU